GACGAACGCUGGCGGCGUGCUUAACACAUGCCAGUCGAACGGAAAGGCCCUGCUUUUGUGGGGUGCUCGAGUGGCGAACGGGUGAGUAACACGUGAGUAACCUGCCCUUGACUUUGGGAUAACUUCAGGAAACUGGGGCUAAUGCCGGAUAGGAGCUCCUGCUGCAUGGUGGGGGUUGGAAAGUUUCGGCGGUUGGGGAUGGACUCGCGGCUUAUCAGCUUGUUGGUGGGGUAGUGGCUUACCAAGGCUUUGACGGGUAGCCGGCCUGAGAGGGUGACCGGCCACAUUGGGACUGAGAUACGGCCCAGACUCCUACGGGAGGCAGCAGUGGGGAAUAUUGCACAAUGGGCGGAAGCCUGAUGCAGCAACGCCGCGUGCGGGAUGACGGCCUUCGGGUUGUAAACCGCUUUCGCCUGUGACGAAGCGUGAGUGACGGUAAUGGGUAAAGAAGCACCGGCUAACUACGUG
rnacentral:rRNA from 1 species